UACGUAGGGGGCAAGCGUUAUCCGGAAUUAUUGGGCGUAAAGCGCGCGUAGGCGGUUUUUUAAGUCUGAUGUGAAAGCCCACGGCUCAACCGUGGAGGGUCAUUCGAAACUGGAAAACUUGAGUGCAGAAGAGGAAAGUGGAAUUCCGUGUGUAGCGGUGAAAUGCGCAGAGAUAUGGAGGAACACCAGUGGCGAAGGCGACUUUCUGGUCUGUAACUGACGCUGAUGUGCGAAAGCGUGGGGAGCAAACAGG
rnacentral:rRNA from 1 species